rnacentral:pre_miRNA from 1 species
AUGACAUUCGGACCGUCGGUCUACCAAGCAAUAUCGCCUGCUCGGUGGAAGUUCUUCUCUUUGUCAU